rnacentral:lncRNA from 1 species
GGAACUUGAAAGAGUAAAAAGAGACGACUAGCGUGGCUUUUUUUUCUGGUAGUGACCACAAAAAUCAUUAGUCGCCGUUUUAGCAGGGGUUCAAAUUAUAGGUACACUCUAGUGUCGAUUGGAAAUAGCAAAUUCCCACAUCACUAAAAUGCUACCAAAACAUUGAGCCGAGGUGGAGCAAAUUUUUGAGCCCUUUCCACUGUGGGAUUAGAUGCAGUACCUUCCACAUAAUCCACACCCAAACCAACCACUAGGUAGACCACCACUCUUAUGGUGUGUAAAUAGUAAUUUGAUGGUGUAAAUUAACUCCAAUUCUAUAGGACCAUAGGUCCAAUAAUUUAAUAUUUAGGUCCCUAGAAGAAGAAAGGUUACCCCACAAGAGGUUGACAAUCCCAUUGUCUCAUGGCCAUGAAUUUAGUGCUCUUGAUCCCCCAAUAUAAUAACAAUAUAUUUAAGAUAGAUU